AUCGUGCCAUUGUGCUGAUUGUGAGAUGACAGGAUGUAACUGAGCGCGUGAGCGCUAGGAUGAUGCCCGCCGAUAACUCCGCUGCUGGCAUCCACCGAACGUAGGAAUGUCGCUAUCGUCGUCGCUAUGACUCCCCUGUGAUUAGCAACAAACAAGUACUCCCAUCAGCGAGGGUAUACGAGAGAGGGUGGCAUGGUGGCAAGCAAAUAUAACGAGAAGUAAAAAUCCUUGAAAGUGCGUAGGCUACAACGACCGGGCCAAUCAACUACCUUGUCCAGCAGCCAUAGAAAACAGAUUCCCCGGAAUAUCAAAUACCGACGCCUCCACUUCUCACACACAAUUUCUUUUUUUUUUGCCGGGAUCUCGGUGUGGGUGUCGGACUCGAGACACGCGAGAAAACUGCGCCCCGUCACGUAACCAGAGCACGAAAAGGACGGGCAAAGGGGAUAAUAUAUAUAUACACGUAUAUAUUCAAUAAAAACACCUGACCACAUGACGGCAGAGUAGAAGAGAAAAAAAAGCUUAUCAUCUCUACCUUAGUUAUUGUCGUGUGACUGAAGCUCAAACGUUUGUUAACGCUGUGCGGCUCAUCCUUUUCGAAAUGGCUCUACAGCAAAUGACCAGUCAAAUGCUUGUUCGAGGUCGAUGAUAUUCGACACUGGACGUCAAGAUUUUAUUAAACACACAUUUUCGGCGAAGCUUGUAGGUCGCCGAAAAUGUGUUCUCUUGGUCUGCUGGCAGUGUGCAUGGCUUUGUAAAGGAGGGCAUCAGCCGUUUCUGACCUGAACCUGGAGCAACCAACGCCCCCAGGCUGAAGAUGUGUAGUUUCAAAAA